AGGAAAUAAAACUGAAGAAUGUAGCUGUCAUGGAUGAAGCUCUCACAUCUUCAGAGGAAGAACCAAUACAAGGACUCAGCUGCUUGAAUCUGUGGGCAUGAGGCUGGAAAAACACAGCAGGUCUGACAGCAUCUGAGGAGCAGAUGCAUCUCCAACAUCUAUAGAACUCACCAAUGUGGCAUUGCCUGUCGCUGACACAGCUAAUAUUACCGCAUCAAUUCCUUUUUUCUAGAAUACAUCAGAGAUCAGAGAAUGAGAGCUUAUUAACAGCAAGAUGUGAAAGGAAUACUAUCUCUAAAACAUUUAAAAGAAACUACACUGUAUUUACAUAUCAACCUCAAUCCAAUGAAGUACUUUUCACUGUUGUAAUGUAGGAAAAAU